GACGAACGCUGGCGGCGUGCUUAACACAUGCAAGUCAAACGGAAAGGCCCUGCUUUUGUGGGGUGCUCGAGUGGCGAACGGGUGAGUAACACGUGAGUAACCUGCCCUUGACUUUGGGAUAACUUCAGGAAACUGGGGCUAAUACCGGAUAGGAGCUCCUGCUGCAUGGUGGGGGUUGGAAAGUUUCGGCGGUUGGGGAUGGACUCGCGGCUUAUCAGCUUGUUGGUGGGGUAGUGGCUUACCAAGGCUUUGACGGGUAGCAGGCCUGAGAGGGUGACCGGCCACAUUGGGACUGAGAUACGGCCCAGACUCCUACGGGAGGCAGCAGUGGGGAAUAUUGCACAAUGGGCGGAAGCCUGAUGCAGCAACGCCGCGUGCGGGAUGACGGCCUUCGUGUUGUAAACCGCUUUCGCCUGUGACGAAGCGUGAGUGACGGUAAUGGGUAAAGAAGCACCGACUAACUACGUG
rnacentral:rRNA from 1 species